UACGAAGGGGGCUAGCGUUGUUCGGAGUUACUGGGCGUAAAGGGCGCGUAGGCGGCGCAUCAAGUCAGGCGUGAAAGCCCUGGGCUCAACCCCGUGUCAGCCAUGGAUACUGGGAGGCUGGAGACAGGUAGAGGCAAGCGGAAUUCCGGGUGUAGCGGUGGAAUGCGUAGAGAUCCGGAAGAACACCGGAGGCGAAGGCGGCUUGCUGGACCUGGUCUGACGCUGAGGCGCGAAAGCGUGGGGAGCGAACAGG
rnacentral:rRNA from 1 species